CACGGAGGCAGCCCCGGCAGUCAGAGGCGAGGAAGGACGUGCUAAUCGGCGACAAGCGUCGGUCAGCUGAUAGGAACCGUUAGCCCCGGCGAUCUCCGACUGGGGACACCCAGUGUGAUUCGUCACACGAUCGUUAACUGAAUACCGCGGGUAACGAGGCGCACCGGGGGACGUGAAACCUCGACGGACCCCGAGGAGCAGAAAUCAACCGAGAUUCCCCCAGUCGCG
rnacentral:rRNA from 1 species